CUACGAGCGGCAGCAGUGGGGAAUCUUGGACAAUGGGCGCAAGCCUGAUCCAGCCAUGCCGCGUGAGUGAUGAAGGCCUUAGGGUCGUAAAGCUCUUUCGCCAGGGAUGAUAAUGACAGUACCUGGUAAAGAAACCCCGGCUAACUCCGUGCCAGCAGCCGCGGUAAUACGGAGGGGGUUAGCGUUGUUCGGAAUUACUGGGCGUAAAGCGCGCGUAGGCGGACCAGAAAGUUGGGGGUGAAAUCCCGGGGCUCGACCCCGGAACGGCCUCCAAAACUCCUGGUCUUGAGUGCGAGAGAGGUGAGUGGAAUUCCGAGUGUAGAGGUGAAAUUCGUAGAUAUUCGGAGGAACACCAGUGGCGAAGGCGACUCACUGGCUCGAUACUGACGCUGAGGUGCGAAAGUGUGGGGAGCAAACAGGAUUAGAUACCCUUGUAGUC
rnacentral:rRNA from 1 species